CUUUUUUUUCUCUUUCUCGGCGAAUUAGGGUUUCUACUGCUUCACUGCUCACUCUCUCUGUGUGGUUUAUGCGUUUCAAUGCCUGCUAAUUGCUUGCCUAAAUCGCGUCUUCAGAACCCUAGACUGUGCCGGACUGCUCCAUUUUGCGGGCGAUUUUGGCUCAUUAGUCUAUUUGAGUCUUUGCUUCUGUUGGAAUCGCGUGCCAGAAUUUGAUUCCAGCCCCGCUGCUUCUUAGAUGGCGCCGAGUCGCAGAAGGGGC
rnacentral:misc_RNA from 1 species